rnacentral:rRNA from 1 species
GAUGAACGCUGGCGGCGUGCCUAAUACAUGCAAGUCGAGCGAACGGACAAGAAGCUUGCUUCUCUGAUGUUAGCGGCGGACGGGUGAGUAACACGUGGAUAACCUACCUAUAAGACUGGGAUAACUUCGGGAAACCGUAGCUAAUACCGGAUAAUAUUUUGAACCGCAUGGUUCAAAAGUGAAAGACGGUCUUGCUGUCACUUAUAGAUGGAUCCGCGCUGCAUUAGCUAGUUGGUAAGGUAACGGCUUACCAAGGCAACGAUGCAUAGCCGACCUGAGAGGGUGAUCGGCCACACUGGAACUGAGACACGGUCCAGACUCCUACGGGAGGCAGCAGUAGGGAAUCUUCCGCAAUGGGCGAAAGCCUGACGGAGCAACGCCGCGUGAGUGAUGAAGGUCUUCGGAUCGUAAAACUCUGUUAUUAGGGAAGAACAAAUGUGUAAGUAACUGUGCACAUCUUGACGGUACCUAAUCAGAAAGCCACGGCUAACUACGUG